UAUUUAUAAAUAUAAUGUAUUUUAAUUAUAUAUAGGCUUUAAUUUAAUUUGGGUCAUUAUUGUUGGCCCAUAAAAUAAACCCAACAAGUACAACCGUGCAAUUGAGCCCAACUCUAAAUUUACAUAACGCACUCUCUCUUUCAGACUUUCACUGUUGCACAUAACCCUAAAACAUGAUAACAUUCAAAUUUUUAAAUCCCUAAUUCCCCCCCCCUCUCUCUCUCUCUCUCUCUCUCAGACCCUCACCAAGUCAGGCAGUCACCCUAGCUCACAUUUCUUGCAAUUAUUUUGUAUUUUGAACUAUUGGACAUGUUGCAUUAAAUUGUAGGUAAUGUUCUAUAAAAAUUAAACUAUUGAUUAUAUAAUGUCGAGAAUUUCAAUCGGCUCGUUUAGAGCUCGAGCUCGGCUCGACUCG
rnacentral:lncRNA from 1 species